CCCUUAGAUGUCCUGGGCCGCACGCGCGCUACACUGACAUGUUCAACAAGUUUCUCCUAGUUCGACAGGACUGGGAAAUCUUUGAACGCAUGUCGUGAUAGGGAUAGAUCAUUGCAAUUAUUGAUCUUGAACGAGGAAUUCCUAGUAAACGCGAGUCAUCAGCUCGCAUUGAUUACGUCCCUGCCCUUUGUACACACCGCCCGUCGCUCCUACCGAUUGAAUGAUCCGAUGAAUAUCAUGGACUGAGAGUGUUAGAGUUUUCGGACUUCUACACUUCUCGGGAAGUGAAGUGAAUCUUAUCAUUUAGAGGAAGGAGAAGUCGUAACA
rnacentral:rRNA from 1 species